UAAUAGGUUAUUUAUUUAUUUAUUUAUUUAUUGUAGAUUUUCCGCCUCCAAAAAUGGCCAACCAACCAUCGUUGCCAAAUAUAGGUCUAUAACUAAUUUUGGCAUUGGAAAAGAGAUGAGUGACAAUGACUGUGCACGCCUCAAUCGUCUUUAUGAGUGCUAAACUUCAAGACAAACAGAGGAUGUCCAGGUCUUGUUGAUGCCUCCAGUGGUGAUCAAAUUAAGUGCUCAAGCAUAUCAUUUAAAUGUAUGAACUGGUGGUUGUUGAUAAGAUACAGUAAUUCACAUAUGUAUAUCCAAUGCAAAAAUAAAUACAUUUUAAAGACGUAAA